GAUGACCGAUAGUGAACAAGUACCGUGAGGGAAAGGUGAAAAGUCCCCCUGUUAGGGGAGUGAAAUAGUACCUGAAACCUUUAGCAUACAAUCAGUCAGAGCCCUUCGGGGUGAUGGCGUACCUUUUGUAUAAUGGGUCAGCGACUUAAUUUCAGUAGCAAGCUUAACGUUAGGUAGGCGUAGGGAAACCGAGUCUUAAAUGGGCGAUUAGUUGCUGGAAUUAGACCCGAAACCAAGCGAUCUAUCCAUGGUCAGGUUGAAGUGUGAGUAACAUCACAUGGAGGACCGAACCCACUUAUGUUGAAAAAUGAGGGGAUGAACUGUGGAUAGGGGUGAAAGGCCAAUCAAGCUUGGAGAUAGCUGGUUCUCUCCGAAAACUAUUUAGGUAGUGCCUCUUGUAUUACCAAUGGGGGUAGAGCACUGUUUCGGCUAGGGGGUCAUCCCGACUUACCAAACCGAUGCAAACUCCGAAUACCAUUGAGUAUGAGCAAGGGAGACAGACUGCGGGUGAUAACGUCCGUAGUCGAAAGGGAAACAACCCAGACCAACAGCUAAGGUCCCAAAUUAUGAUUAAGUGGAAAACGAUGUGAAUAGACUUAUACAGCUAGGAGGUUGGCUUAGAAGCAGCCAUCCUUUAAAGAAAGCGUAAUAGCUCACUAGUCUAGUUUGUCUGCGCGGAAGAUUUACCGGGGCUAAAUCAUAAACCGAAGCUUUGGAUCAUCUUCGGAUGAUGGUAGGAGAGCGUUCUGUAAGCCUGUGAAGGUGAACCGAGAGGUUUGCUGGAGGUAUCAGAAGUGCGAAUGCUGACAUGAGUAACGAAUAAGGAGGUGAAAAACCUCCUCGCCGGAAGACUAAGGAUUCCUCUCCAACGCUUUUCGUGGGAGGGUUAGUCGGCCCCUAAGGCGUACCCGAAAGGGGAAGUCGAUGGGAAACAGGUUAAUAUUCCUGUACCAGUUGGAAGUGACGGAUCUAGUAAAUUGUAUACACUUAUUGGAUUGUGUAUGCCGUGAAUAGGUUCCAAGAAAUAGCUCCAACAUAGACCGUACCAUAAACCGACACAGGUGGUCAGGUAGAGAAUACCAAGGCGGAUGAGAUAACUCUGGUGAAGGAACUAGGCAAAAUGUAACCGUAACUUCGGGAGAAGGUUAGCCAACUUUAAGGCAACUUUUAGUUGGUCGAAGAUACCAGGUGGCUGCGACUGUUUACUAAAAACACAGCACUCUGCUAACACGAAAGUGGACGUAUAGGGUGUGACGCCUGCCCGGUGCCGGAAGGUUAAAUGAUGGGGUUAGCUUCGGCGAAGCUCUUGACUGAAGCCCCGGUAAACGGCGGCCGUAACUAUAACGGUCCUAAGGUAGCGAAAUUCCUUGUCGGGUAAGUUCCGACCUGCACGAAUGGCGUAACGAUGGCCACACUGUCUCCACCAGAGGCUCAGUGAAAUUGAAAUAGCUGUUAAGAUGCAGUUUACCCGCAGCUAGACGGAAAGACCCCGUGCACCUUUACUACAGGUUCACACUGAAAUUUGGUUUUAUAUGUGUAGGAUAGGUGGGAGACUUUGAAGCUUGGACGCCAGUUCAGGUGGAGUCGCCCUUGAAAUACCACCCUUGUAAGAUUGACUUUCUAACUUUGAUUUUUUUCAAGGACAGUGUGUGCUGGGUAGUUUGACUGGGGCGGUCUCCUCCUAAAGAGUAACGGAGGAGUACGAAGGUAUGCUCAACACGGUCGGACAUCGUGUGUAGAGUGCAAAAGCAAAAGCAUGCUUGACUGCGAGAUCGACGGAUCGAGCAGGUAGGAAACUAGGUUUUAGUGAUCCGGUGGUUCUGAAUGGAAGGGCCAUC
rnacentral:rRNA from 1 species